GUUACCCCGUCUUGGUAUUAGUGUUCAUCCCGCUUUUACACAUUACUUAAACUCUUGCUGUGAUGAAGAUUCUUGAACAAUACUUGUCGUUCCCUGGCUGUUUUACUAAUAUUAAUAAUGGUAAUUGUCUUUCUGUGAUAUACUGUAUUGAUCAUUAAUACCGCAAUAUCCUUAUUUAUCUCGGAGUCAGUGUUUUACCAUUACUGUUUCUUUCAGUUAGAUAAUCAGUUGUUUCCCAUUCUCCAGCUAAGUAUCAAUUAUGGAAUAACUAUAUUUAAAUCUACUUCAACGAGAAUUUUUAUUCCUUACCGUUAUUGGCGUUAACUGAGAUGGCCAAGUGACUCAACAGACAUCAAACAACAGAAAAGAAAGUUUCAAAGAAUUUUGCUCAGAUUAUAAAACAUAGGCUUAUGGCUAGAUUUGGUGGGCUCGUAUACACAUACUUUCAGGUCUUUAUCAUCAGGAAAGACUUGUAACAAGAUAUAACACAAAAGUUAUUGGUAAUCACUGAUCACUUAAUUGAUUCUAUGGGAUGUUUUUGAUCAGUGACAUUUAUUAUAAGAUAACAAUCAUUAAUUUGAAAAGAUCCUUAGCUUAUAGAUCUUUUACAAGUGUGUUUGACAGAUGAUCAGGUUUCACUAAUGUUCAUUAAUGUUAUGCUGUUUAUUCUACAUGCAUCUUUUACUUUAGUCAGAGGCUAAAAUUGUAAUAAUUAUGAAUAUUAUCUUAAAACCUAAUUGUUAUUACAUUUAAUGUUCUAACUUAUUUAGUUCUUCCCAGUAUAGAAUUUUGUUUUAGAGCAAUAACUUGUCUUAUUUAGGUAUUGACUACAUGUACAUUUUCAAUAUAAUAAAAGUGAAGUUUUGGGAUUAAGAUUAUUUAAUUCUUAUUUAUUUGGCCAAAUAAUUGUAUAUGUAUUUUUUAUAUACUGCCAGGAAGAAAAAUGUGUAGAAAUCAUUAAAGUUGACAAACACUGUAAACAGUUAGUAUUGUUUAUUCAUGUAAUGUUUAAAAUGUUCAAACAAAAUAAAAAAAUACAUUGUUUAAGA